ACGUAGGCAGCAAGCGUUGUUCGGAGUUACUGGGCGUAAAGAGUGCGUAGGCGGUUCUCUAAGUUUGGUGUGAAAUCUCCCGGCUUAACCGGGAGGGUGCGCCGAAGACUGGGGAGCUUGAGUAUGGGAGAGGUAAGCGGAAUUCCUGGUGUAGCGGUGAAAUGCGUAGAUAUCAGGAGGAACACCUGUGGUGUAGACGGCUUACUGGACCAUCACUGACGCUGAGGCACGAAAGCGUGGGUAGCAAACAG
rnacentral:rRNA from 1 species